GGAGGCGAGGGCAAUCUGGCUGCAGGAUCUGCCAUGCCAUUGACUGCCAGGGUAGAAUGGACCGAUCUGGCUUGCGAGGUGGGCGUCCUCUUCCUUUCUCACUGCUCUCUGUGCAUCCCUCCCAAAGCUGCGCAUUUGGUUGGAUGAGGACAUAGGACCAGUCUUCUGUUGAGGGUACAGGAGUAGCUGUGAUCUCCCGCUAGAACCUCCCAAUAAGCUCUCAAGGGCCCUGUCUCCAGUGACUCUCAGAGUUAAGCUUCAACAUUUGUAUUGUGGGUAACAAGGUUUAACAGGGGCCAACGAUAGAAAUCCUGCAUUUGGUAGUAUCUUC
rnacentral:snRNA from 1 species